CGUGGGAGGAAUCUUUGAAGCAUUUCUUGGAACAAACCCUAAAACAAUCACUAUCGGAACCCUGCCCCUGCCCCCCUUUGGCUACGCCCAUGGUACCAAACAUGCAAAAAAGGGGGUCCAGAUCCAGCGAGAACGUAAUAUAACGAGAAAGACUAUUUCAUAGACCAACUAUUCCUAACAUUACUCAAUUGUUCUACCGCAGCUAUCUCAAGACAAAGCCCAUCCAAUCCAACCUCUGGUGGUGACUCGUUCGUCUCCAACUUGUUUCGAUAACCGAGCCGGAGGAGAGGUCAACGACACUUAUCUACCACGCCAGACGCAACGAAACCCAUAAGCAACAUACAAAAAAGUUAAAGUUACUACUACUCGCUUCGUCUCGUCGUUGCAGUCAGUCAGCGCUGGCUGACCAGGUUCGUCGUCGUCGUUGUUUGUCGUUUCUCUUUCGGAGAUUGGACCCCGGCCGGCUGUCGUUGCGACGACGGGUGCAGCCGCAGAAUGACUCACGUUUGUUCUGAAAACGAUUUACCUUCACUUUUCGAUUUCUUAGUUUGGUUCUUCUUUGGUCGAAGAUGUCUGACUGACUUACGUACGUGAGGUUGCUUAUCUAUCUAUCUAUCUAUCUGUCUGUUUUGUUGGUUUUGUUACAUCGUCGUCAUUAAACAAACGACCGCGGCAUCGAAUACACCUCCGAUCGAUGGUGCACCAAUCCAUUUGUUUAUCUUCCAAAUGGUUGGCGUUGGGUCAGAGAAGACCAAGUAGCGAAAUUGAUAAAAAGAAGUAAAUCACCGAUAAAGAAAAACCCGAUUUAUUCCACCUAUGGUGAACAGAACCCUUCUUACACUUAUUAGAAUUAUUGUUGUAUUUUUCGUAUUUAACAUAUUUAUUUUGUGUGAUUGUGCCUGUAGUAGUCCUUAGUGUAAGUUAAAUCAAUGUAGGUAUUGACUAAGAUGAAUGACAAUGACCACCGAACUACUGAUCAUUCUGGAAUAAACUUUGGAGAAGAUAACACCGUUGUUUGAUUGUGUCUCACAGUGCCUUUUGGUCAUUCUAGAAAAUAUUGUGGAUUUGACAUCUAGUGGAUUGGUUUCCAAAAUAGCAUCAUGGACCAUGGACUAAACUGCCAGAAAUGCCAGGCAUCUCCUAGAAUCUUGUAUAGAAUUCUUAAAAAAUAGUUCAUAUAUUCUGGAGUAUUGUAUAUUUCGUUAACUGCCAAAAGAUCUUGAAUCGAUUGACAAAAGGAUAAGAAAAUCAUCGAGAUACACUUUGUCUAAUAUCUCUUAAUAAGUCGAUUAAAUUAGCUACGAAGUAGUAUGGUAGCUUUUAUUUGGUGCUAAGAGAACCAAAAUCGGUUGACAGAUGGCAAAGAUAUUUAAUAUGAUACACUUUGUCAAAAAUCUCAAAAAAGACAUUUGCUCAGUUCGUCGAGCUGAGUUGAUUGGAAUAUGAAACUCGGCCCUCCUGUCUGUUUUACACAAAUCAGCGUGGUGAUGAUUUCCAAGUGGAGUUCCUGAAUGAAUCCUAGGAUAAGCUCAAAACAAUUAUUGUUGGAAAAAACCCUCGAGACAUUUCAGAGGUUUCUGGAGAAAAAAAAACAUAACCUCAGGAUAUUCCUGAAAGAAUCGCAUGACGAAUUUCUAAAGGCAUUCCUUUGCAAAAGCUGCAGGGGGUUUGCUCAAAGGAAUACAUGGAUGGAAUAAAUCUGUGGAUGAACUCCUAGAGGAUCUCUUGGAGAAAAUUGAGAAAACAUUUCUGGAUGACUUCUUGGAGAAUUUUCUGCCUCAUGUAUGCAUCUCAGUAAAAUUAUCUUUGAGAAUUCCAAUACGAACCACUGCAGUAAUUCCCCAAGAAUUUUUUUGUAGUAAUUUAAAAAAACCUUCAUUGAUUCCUUGAAGCAUCCUUGCAAAAAAUCUUGGGUGCAUUCCAGCAAAAGAUGAUGGAAUCAUUUUUGAAAUUUCUGAAGGAGUCCCUGGAUAAUAUUUGGAAGAUAUACCGAGAGGAAUAUGUGAAGGAAUCACAAGAGCAAUUCCUGGAGUACUCCCUGGAAGAAUCCCAGGAGUAAUUCCUAGAAAAAAUCCCUGGAGGAAUUCCAAGAGAAUUCCCUAGAGGAAUCUUUGGCGAUUUUCCUGAGAAUUUUUCUGGCGGAAUCCUUGGACGAAUUCCUGCAGGAAUCCCGAAAGAAAUUCCUGGACGAAAUCCUAAAAGAAUCCCUGGAGGAAUUUCUGGAGGAAUCCGUAGUAGAAUUCCAGGAAGAAUCACUGGAGGAAUCCAUAGAAGAAUUUCUGAAGGAAUCCCUGAAAGAAUUCCUGGAGAAACUCAUGGAUGAACUGCUGCAGAAAUCCCUAGAACAAUUCUGGGAGGAAUUUCUAAAAAAAUCUGAAAAUAUCCCUUGAGAAAUUCCAGGAGGAAUACCUGCAGGAAUACCUGGAGGAUUGCAUGAAGAAAUCCUUGAAGGAGUCCCUGGAGGAUUCCUUGGAGGAAUUUAGACGAAUCUUUGGAAGAAUUCCUGAAGGGAUCUCCUGGAGAAAAAAUCUUGGAUCAUUUCCUAGAGGAAUUUAUGUAGGAAUUCCUGGGUGAAUUCUUGGAGGAUUCCCUAUAGGAAUUCUUGGAUGUAUCCCGCCUAGAGUUGUUUCUAAAGGAAUCCAUGGUGGAAUUCCAAGAAGAACGCCUGGGGAAAUUCCUGGAUACAUACUUGAAGGAAUCUCUGGAAGAGUUCUCAGAGAAUUCCAUAGUUGUACUCCUGCAGAAAUCCCUAGAUAAAUUCUUGGAGAAAUCCCUGAUGAAAUCCCUGGAGAAACUCUUGGAAGAAUUCCUGGGAAAAUGUCUGGAGGAAUGCCUGGAUGAAUUGCACGAGGAAUACCUGAAGGAAUUUUUAAAGCAAUUUCUGGACAAAUUCCUGGACGAAUUUCUGAAGGCAUUCAUGAAUGAUUUUCUGGAAAAAAAAAGCCUGGAGGAAAGCCUGGACAGAGUUCUAGAGGCAUUGUAGGAGGAAUUCCUGGAGGAAUCUCUAGAAAAAUGUAUGGAUUAAUCCCUGGAGGAAUCCGUGGUUGAUUUCAAGGAGCAAUUCCUGGAAAAAUUCCUGAAGGACUCCCUGGAUGAAUUCGUAAAAAAAAUCCCUAGAGGAAUUUUCGGAGGAUUCCCUGGGUAAAUUUAAGAAGAAAUCUCUUGAGAAAUUGCUGGACGAAUUCCUGGAAGAAUGUAUGAAGGCAUCCCUGGAGUAUUUCACGAAGAAAUUCCUGAGGGAAUUCCUGGAUAAAACCCUAGAGAAAUUCAUUCGCAGGUGGCCAACCGACAACCGUGGUGGAAUCCCAGAAGGAAUCGCCAAAGAAAAUCCUAAAAAAAACUCCUGGUCGAAUUCCUGAAUGAAUUCGUAGAAAAUUCCGUAGAAAAAUUUUGGGAGGAAUCUCUAGAGAAAUUUGUUAAGAAACGGCUCGAGGAAUUCCUUGAAAAAUUUCUAGAGAAAUGCCUGGACGAAUUCCUUGAGAAAUUUAAUAAGGAAUCCCUGGAGGAUUCCCUGUAGAUAUUUCUGUAGGAAUUCCUGCAGUUUCCUGGAGCAAUUCCUAGAGGAGGUUUCUGCAGGAGUUCUUGAAGGAGUUGUGAGUGAAUUCCUGGAUGAAAUCCUGAUUAUAUGCCUGAAGGAAUCCCUGAACUAAUUCUGGAGAAACUCCUGGAGGAAUUCCUGGAAGAUUUCCUGGAGCAAUUCCUGAUGUAAUACCUGGAGGAAUUUUUGGAGGAAUUCCUGAAGGAAUCCCUGGAGAAUCUAUUGGAAAAUUUCCUGACGGAAUGCCAGGAGGAAUCCCAAGCGGAAUCCCUAGAGCAAUUUCUGGAAAAAAAAACUCUGAUGGAAAGUCUGGAGGAAUUCAACUAGAGGAAUGCCACGAGGAAGUUCUGCAGUAAUUCCUGGAGAAAUUCUAGGAUAAAUCCCUGGAGGACUCCAUGAAGGAAAUACUGUAAGAUUCCUUGAAGAAUCACUGAAGCAAUUCCAGCAGGAAUCCCUGGAAGAAUUCCUGGAGAAGUUCGUGGAGUAGUUGCUGGAAGUAUGUCUAGGGGAAUUCCUGGAGGAAUCCCUGUAGGAAUUUUCAAAGGAAUCUGUGGAGGUAUUUUCGGAGGAAUCUCUUCAGGAAUUCCUGAAAAGUUCUUGAGAGGAUUUUCUAGGAUAAUUUCUUGGAGGUAUCCCAGAAAGAAUUCCUGAAAAAAUCGCAGGAGGAAUUCCUGAAGAAAUCGUAAAAGGAAGAACUAAAGAAAUCGAAGGAGUUCUUUUCAAAAAACAUGGAGGAAUCUCAAACAGAGUUCGUUUAGGAACUUCUGGAAGAAUUCCUGUAGCAAUUCUUGAAGGAAUCACUGGAGGAAUUCCGGAAGGUCCCCAGGAGGAAUUCCGGUAGGAAUCUCAAGAAGAUGUUCCUAAGAGAAUCUCUAAACAAUUCCUUGAUAAAUUCAUGAGGAAUUCCUGAAAGAACUCCAGGAAGAAAUCCUGAAGAUAUCCCAAAAAGAGUUACUGAAGGAAUCCUUGGAGCAAUUAAAAAAUACCUGGAACUGUUCCUGAAAGAAUCCCUAACGAAAUUCCCGAGAGAAUCCUUGGAGGAUUUCCUGGAGGAAUUCUUGGAGGAAUAACCGGAAGAAUUUCUGAAGAAACCCCAGGAGGAAUCACGGAAACAAUCUCAUGAGAAAUUCCUCAGGAAAUCCAAGGAUGGGGUUUCAAACAAAUUCCUGGAGACAUUCUGCAGGAAUCUCUGGAAAAAUUCUGAAGAAAUCCGUGUCUGUAGUAAUUUUUAGACGAAUUAUUGAAGGAAUCCUUUGAUGGACUUCUGAAGGACUUCUAGAUUGAGCUCCUCGGAGCGAUCAAUGGCGCUUAAGUUGGAACAAUGGCUUGUUAGCCAGGACGCAGUGUAUAUGCCUGUGCCCGAUCCCUGAAGCAAAACGGCCUAUGACGUGACAAAAUUUCUUAGCUACGUCACUCCUAACGUUGGUGUUUAAAUCACUUACACUCACACCAACACAUCUACAUGACCUGCUCAAAUACACUUACACAAUCUGAAUUUCACGUUUAAAUAUUUCACUCCACUUAAGUUGACUAGUAUACACUCUAGUAGGAUUUGGAAAAUACUUCGGAACCGUAAUAAAAUAAUUGUUAUUACUUGGGUUACAAUAAGUUAUCGAAACUUGCCAAAAUUUCGGAAAGGAUCUUGUCUCCGUUAUUGAUAAACUUAUAUUCUAUUUUUUAAACUUAUUUCAAAAAAGUGUUCCGCAAGGAAAAAGGUCUGAAAACCCCAUGCACUGGGUCAUACCGUGGCGUCCGUCGGUACUGUAUGAACGAAAACUUUUAGGCAAAGUUCACUAGUCGUUUCGAAAUUUCGGCUGCUAGAGCGAUCUUCAGGUAUAACAUUGAAAGUCGGGUAAGCCCAGUCACUUAUUCCAGUCUGGUUUAGCACCGAACAAAUGGAGUGCGUUGUUUGCCCGGCAUUUAUUGGUUGGCUCUGUAUCACUGACCUUUGUUGGAGAGUGAGUCUAUUUUGAGCGGCGUUGGGCGUAGAUUUAUUUUCGGAAUGUGUAACGUGAAUUUUAUUUUAUAGUAAGAAAUAAAACAUUCAAACUGAUUGAACUCAACUCCGUCUGCCCAUUCUUAAAGUAAAAUCAUCAUUAUUUGGGAUUUAUCCAGACUGGAAAAAGAUCCUUGCGAUUUGUCAUCUGCCAUGCUUCGAUUUUCAGGACCAUUCAAUCGAUGACUAUAAAAUCUUUCCUCCUUCCUACCUUGUACCACCCUAUUACCCCUUCGUUGCUACCACCCAACCCAUGUAGCAUCAUCGUCGGCUCUACAGGUUGAUUCAGUUCAGUCCAGUCAACAAACGGUAGCCGUCUGGCUGUCGUGGCUGGUCAGACAGGAGGACAGUCGAACGAAAAUACGCUGCAACUGGCAAGAAUGAUAGUUUGGCUGUGAUGGCAAACGCGAAAGAGUCGCGUGGUAGGGUCAAUGCAGCAGUAUGGCAUCAGCCAUUCUGAAGUCAGAAUUUUGCACGUAGGCAUUAUCAUUUGCAGUUGGAUUUGUCGAUGUUACCGGGUCUCGGGUUUUCUCUCGACUUCUGUAGGUAGACGUUCAUUGGUUGAAUUUUGGAGGCGCGAUUCAGUGGAUGGAUAAUUAAAACUGUACAUCAAUAAUGGCUCAAUAAUUGAAGUCGGUCUUUUGCCGAGGCACCAUUUAAGUCUUCACCGCAAAAUAUGUAUAAUUCUCCAUUCGAAUUAAAAAUCAUUGCAAUUUGCAAAGCGGAGAACCGGAAAUUGAAUUGAAUGCCGCUUUUCUGCGUGUUCUUCAAAUGAUUAUUGACCUCAUUAUGGCUGUUUUCCACCCGUUUCGCUAGCCUUAGAUGUAGGUGCAUGCAGAAAAGAUUAUCGAGUACUGAUCUGGUGUUCGUUGGAGAUUGGCAGUUUCAUUUGAUUAUUUACCAAAUGAACGCUUGAUUGUAAUAAAUUUUUCUUGCUAUAGGACAGAUCGGUGAAGUACUAGAUUUGUAGUAAUGAGCUGAAUUUUAGUAUGGUGAGAAGGUCAAUUAUUCGUUUCUGCAAUGAAAUGGUGCAAAAAGCGUGGGUAUUAUGAUUCCUUGCCUAAUUUGAUGCUAAUUGAGCAAAACUUUAGGCAACAGUGUUGUUGUUUUUUCCUUUUCUUGCAACAUAAACAACAUAGUUAUCCAAAGUUUUGCUCAAACAGCAUCAAAUUAGGCAAGGAAUCAUAAUACCCACGCUUUUUGCACCAUUUCAUUGCAGAAACGGAGAAUUGACCUUCUCACCAUACUAAAAUUCAGCUCAUUACUACAAAUCUAGUACUACACCGAACGUGCCACAUUAUGCGUGCUCCUCACUCUUAACCUAAACCUUAAAAAUGCUUUAUUUUUAUAUAUGAGGGUUUAUUGAAUCCGAUGAAUGCGCCUUAAAGUAUCCAAUUUUAUUUAAAAAAAUUAUGUGAUAGACUCAUUCUACCGUGACGUUACAACGUUUUGACGCCUUUUCGGUCAGAUGUUCCAAUAAAACUCAUAAAUACGGCCAUAAACCCCAAAUAUUUUAACAUAUUUGGAUUCCUUUUAAAUUUACAGUAAAUAUGAUCAGUUGAACAAAUAGUUUUCAUUGAAAAAGCUGGUUUAAAAUGGGAAUGAAUAGCCCCAACUAACAUUUUCAGGGCUUUAAGCUUCAGUUAUUUGCUUUCUGUUGUGUAACAAUCGAGUUGAAGCAAUCAACGCUGAAUAAAGCCAACCUGUCAAGUAUAAACCAUAAGCUAAUACACGGCUGCAAAACAAGCACCAUACAGCUACCAAACCAUGUUUUCAGAAAUCAAUCACUUGUCACUGGGUUUGCCUUUACUGCACUCUAUUCCAACUCCGGGAGAUUUCCCGGAAGAUGUGAAAACAAAUCGAAUAGGAGUCCUCAGUAACAAAAUAGCUGCUACUAUACAGUACAAUUCGUAAUACUGAAAUAUCCACAAACCAGCAGCGCUUCCCGCAUAGCAAAAUACAGUUUGCCAAAACAUCCAAACAGUAAGCGCCUCCCAACUGGUAAUGUUAAAGUAUCACAAAUUGUUGCCUCUGUGUUGAACAAUAUGAAGCCUAACGCUUUAUAUUAUAAAAAACGGCUCACGAAGUUCAUACCAGAUUGUAACACUAUGUUAUACUGUUCAGUUUAUGUAAACUGAUAUGGAUACAUAAACUUGUGAUAAAUGGUUGAAUUAAAGCCUUACUCUAUGUCAGAAGGUUGGUUUGAAUAUUUGCAGCUAAUACUUACACACGCUCGUUCCACUGUGUGGAACAAUGUUUCAACAAUUUGUCAAACUGUUGCAUAUAGUUGUAUUUGUUUUGGAUUCAAUAUUGACCGAAAAAAAAAAUUAGAGGCAGUUUAGUUUUUCUUGUGCACUUUGUUGUCAUGGUGGUUUGUUCUCGCGUGCUAAAUGCUCAAACUUUCGCUAACGAACGCCGAAAAAAAACUGAUUUUCCGUUCGGCAAUCAGGAACGUUAAUUUUGACGCUCUUCGCUCACACAUCGCAGCGGUGGAACCCGAUCGGAGCUGUUUUUAUUUACCACCGUCCACCAGCGCAACGGAGUUCCAUCAACCCACAAGCAGAUUCAGCCGAUCCAGCAUGAUCAAAAAAUCUCCCCGCAGAUGUCCCACACCCGGUUCAUUAGGUACACCAAAUGGAAUGGUAUCGCGGUCCGGAUUGCGACCUAGCAGCGAUGGUUAUGAUGAACAGGCGGUUUCCGGAGUUUUCAACUAGAGUGUGCAAGCAUUCACAGCAGUAUCUCCCUCGGUUAGGAUCAACAGCUUAAGGAGAUCCGACUAAUUAAAGUGUACCCCAACACCCACGGCAUUGAGACAUCACCGCAAGACAAUAAUGAUUGAUGGCAUGGCAGUUAUCAAUCGCAUUUUCAGUGAAACGACACUGGGCACGUACGGAUCAGUUCCUAUGCCAGGUCCAGUUUAUUCCAUCAGUUACUGGUCGUCGGAUGGGAAGAUGUGAAAGCAAAGUGAGAAGCAUUUGCCGAUAAUUAAAUAUGCCCGGCCAUCUGUCCUGCUGUGAUCCUGCGAUAGGUGGAAAGGAUUACCGCCACCGAAUAUCCGCCUCCUUGGAAAAUUAAGAAACAAAACAUGCAAGAAGAAAGAUCUAGUGUAAGGGUACAAAAAUAGGAUCUCUUUCUUAGUUCCGGAGACAAAUUUACAGUCGGAGGCACACACUGCCGUGUGCAGCAUAGUUUCCCAUUCUAAUAUGGAUUCUCAUAUAUGAACAUGGGACAACUAUGCUGCUCACGACAGCACAGUGGUCCAACAUCCUACGUACUUGGUUGACUAUCUGAACCAAAAGACCGCGUGAGGAGCGAUAAUUGCACUUUCUUUUAAAUCUAUGCUUGAAAGCUUUUGUAACUGAAAUUCGAGAAAUAAAUAACUAAAGUUUGGUAGAUA